GGGGAAUUUUUCGCAAUGGGCGCAAGCCUGACGAAGCAACGCCGCGUGGAGGAUGAAGGCCCUAGCGGUCGUAAACUCCUGUCUAGCGGGACGAAAGUUAUCAGGGUGAAUAAUCCUGGUGGUUGACUGUACCGCUGGAGGAAGCUCCGGCCAACUCCGUGCCAGCAGCCGCGGUAAUACGAAGGGGGCAAGCGUUGUUCGGAAUUACUGGGCGUAAAGGGCGCGUAGGCGGCUUACCAAGUCAGGCGUGAAAUUCCCGGGCUCAACCUGGGGGCUGCGCUUGAUACUGGUGAGCUUGAAUGCGGGAGAGGAUAGUGGAAUUCCCAGUGUAGAGGUGAAAUUCGUAGAUAUUGGGAAGAACACCAGUGGCGAAGGCGGCUAUCUGGCCCGUGAUUGACGCUGAGGCGCGAAAGCGUGGGGAGCAA
rnacentral:rRNA from 1 species